rnacentral:rRNA from 1 species
UACAGAGGUCUCAAGCGUUGUUCGGAUUCAUUGGGCGUAAAGGGUGUGUAGGUGGCGCGCUAAGUCGGGUGUGAAAUUUCGGAGCUUAACUCCGAAACUGCAUUCGAUACUGGCGUGCUUGAGGACUGGAGAGGAGACUGGAAUUCAUGGUGUAGCAGUGAAAUGCGUAGAGAUCAUGAGGAAGACCAGUGGCGAAGGCGGUUCUCUGGGCCUUACCUGACGCUGAGGAGCGAAAGCGUGGGGAGCGAACAGG